CAAGGAGGAAAAGGCUGGAGGUGUUGCCAUGGAAACCAUGCUGUCCUGAAGCAUCAGUAGAGCUGGUCUCUUCCCCACCUUUCUUCCUCAGAAUUUUCUGUCUGGAAGCUGAGGCAACCCCUGGAUGACUCAGCUUCCCAGAGAACAGUGGAAAUGAGAGGUCAUGGACUGAACGGGUGAGGGAAGUGCUGAGUGCUUGACUGUGGGAAGAUGCAGCAGGGGACACACAUCUAGAUAUACAUUCUCAGACCAGGCUUGUAUCAUAUAGCAACAACAACCAAAAAGACCUUUUCAUCUAGAAAUACUUCCUGCCUUACAUCACUCUCUUAAAAUUGAAAAAAGCUCCAGAAGGUUUUAAUUAAGGAAUUCUGUGGUAGACUUGGAUACAUGUACUUUUCUGAAGUUACAAGAUGGAUAUGCCUCCUUUCAAGAAAAUAGUUUCUUCUGGCAAAACAGCUCAUGGAAAUAGCACUGGUCCUUCCAUUAACUCUGCUAGGAAUACAAGAAGCUUUGCAAUCAAAGUAC